GUAAUGGUGAGGAUAGUACCUUCUGAGGAGGUGAGGUCAGAGUGUAAUGGUGAGGAUGGUACCUUCUGAGGAGGUGAGGUCAGAGUGUAAUGGUGAGGAUGGUACCUUCUGAGGAGGUGAGGUCAGAGUGUAAUGGUGAGGAUGGUACCUUCUGAGGAGGUGAGGUCAGAGUGUAAUGGUGAGGAUGGUACCUUCUGAGGAGGUGAGGUCAGAGUGUAAUGGUGGGGAUGGUACCUUCUGUGGAGGUGAGGUCAGAGUGUAAUGGUGAGGAUGGUACCUUCUGAGGAGGUGAGG